GAAAGAAAGAUUAAUACCGGAUGGCAUAAUUAUUCCGCAUGGGAUGAUUAUUAAAGAAUUUCGGUUGUCGAUGGGGAUGCGUUCCAUUAGGCAGUUGGCGGGGUAACGGCCCACCAAACCUACGAUGGAUAGGGGUUCUGAGAGGAAGGUCCCCCACAUUGGAACUGAGACACGGUCCAAACUCCUACGGGAGGCAGCAGUGAGGAAUAUUGGUCAAUGGACGAGAGUCUGAACCAGCCAAGUAGCGUGAAGGAUGACUGCCCUAUGGGUUGUAAACUUCUUUUAUACGGGAAUAAAGUGAGCCACGUGUGGUUUUUUGUAUGUACCGUAUGAAUAAGGAUCGGCUAACUCCGUGCCAGCAGCCGCGGUAAUACGGAGGAUCCGAGCGUUAUCCGGAUUUAUUGGGUUUAAAGGGAGCGUAGGCGGGUUGUUAAGUUAGUUGUGAAAGUUUGCGGCUCAACCGUAAAAUUGCAGUUGAUACUGGCGACCUUGAGUGCAACAGAGGUAGGCGGAAUUCGUGGUGUAGCGGUGAAAUGCUUAGAUAUCACGAAGAACUCCGAUUGCGAAGGCAGCUUACUGGAUUGUAACUGACGCUGAUGCUCGAAAGUGUGGGUAUCAAACAGGAUUAGAUACCCUGGUAGUCCACACAGUAAACGAUGAAGACUCGCUGUUGGCGAUAUACGGUCAGCG
rnacentral:rRNA from 1 species